AUGAAAAUGCAACUACACCUCGCCUUCGAUAAACACUGAAAAACCUUUUUCUUUUUCUUUGCAUUUCUCAAACCCUUUUCUCUCUACUAUCUUCAAUGAACCUAAUCCCCAAAAACCCUAAAUUCAAUUUCGAACUACCCUAAAUUCAUCUUUCUUGUUUCACUUCGCCAUUUGCAGUAGCAAGUCGGUAGAACAUGUGGGUUGCUAGGAUAUUACAACCAUAAAUUAAAAACUGGUAUUUGUUCAUCUUGUAAGAAUGGAGAGAAGAUUUCGACCGUGAAGCUACCAUUGGAAUGUCUUAGAUACUAUAGUAGAAAUAGGAUGGCAGUUUGUGAAGUGUUUUGACUGGACUACUUUAAUUGCCAAUCUGAUCCCCUUGACGCAACGUUGAAGAUCAUAUCCCGGUACAUCUCGCUUAUUCUUCACGUAAUCUUUAAUAUCUUCUAUCGAAAUUUCCAUUUAUUUUGAAAAAUAAAAAGGAUCACAACUCAUAAAAAGGGACAGAAA